UACGUAGGGGGCGAGCGUUGUCCGGAAUGACUGGGCGUAAAGGGCGUGUAGGCGGUCAUUUAAGUCUGGAGUGAAAGUCCUGCAUUCAAUGUGGGAAUUGCUUUGGAUACUGGAUGACUUGAGUGCGGAAGAGGUAAGUGGAAUUCCCAGUGUAGCGGUGAAAUGCGUAGAGAUUGGGAGGAACACCAGUGGCGAAGGCGACUUACUGGGCCGUAACUGACGCUGAGGCGCGAAAGCGUGGGGAGCGAACAGG
rnacentral:rRNA from 1 species